ACCACGGUGUAGAAUUCAGGUA
rnacentral:miRNA from 1 species